CGAGGUGUAGCGCAGUUUGGUAGCGCACAUGGUUUGGGACCAUGGGGCCGGAGGUUCGAAUCCUCUCACCUCGA
rfam:Eubacterium limosum KIST612, complete genome.